rnacentral:rRNA from 1 species
CCUACGGGAGGCUGCAGUGGGGAAUAUUGGGCAAUGGGCGCAAGCCUGACCCAGCAACGCCGCGUGAAGGAAGAAGGCUUUCGGGUUGUAAACUUCUUUUGACCGGGAAGAGUAGAAGACGGUACCUGUCGAAUAAGCCACGGCUAACUACAUGCCAUCAGCCGCGGUAAUACGUAGGUGGCAAGCGUUGUCCGGAUUUACUGGGUGUAACGGGCGUGUAGCCGGGUUGACAAGUCAGAUGUGAAAUCCUGGGGCUUAACCGCAGAACUGCAUUUGAACCUGGUGAUCUUGAGUACGGGAGAGGCAGACGGAAUUCCUAGUGUAGCGGUGAAAUGCGUAGAUAUUAGGAGGAACACCAGUGGCGAAGGCGGUCUGCUGGACAGCAACUGACGGUGAGGCGCGAAAGCGUGGGGAGCAAACAGGAUUAGAUACCCGAGUAGUC